UCCCUCUAGGACCCGAUGAUAUCCUAUCUGACCCCCUCCUUUGUGUGCUUAGGGCCUGGUGACCUUCCCUGAUGUGGCCAUGAGCUUCUCCCCAGAGGAGUGGGCAUGCCUGGAUGUCUCUCAGAAGAAGCUCUACAGAGAUGUGAUGCUGGAGACCUACAAGCACCUGCAGGCAGUAGGGUAUUUUGGGGUAAAGCCUGCGUUAAUCUCCUGGCUAGAAGGAGGAGCCCUGGGGAGGCUGCCAAGAAGCUUGUUUGUCGCAGAACUCAAGCCAGAAAUCCAUCCUUGUCUCUUCUGCUCUCUUGUCUUCUCCAAUCAGAACUUCCUAAGUCAUCACAUGAAACGAAGUCAUCCCUCUUGGAUCCUCUUGGGAACAUCUACAAGAAAGCAUCCUGCAUCAGAGAAUUCCUGUCCACGUGAUCAGAACCAAUGUUCUGAUCCAUAUAAUGACAAACCCAAGAAUGACAUACUUGAAAGUCAAAAGCACAAAGAAAGCUCCAUAUAUUUGGCUAGUAGGACGAAGCAUAGAAGAAUUUCAACAGUGUUUUCUAGACUACUUAGCAGCCAAUUAGGUAGCUCUAGUAAACAGAUGACAAUGGAGGAAAUCUUUAACAUAGGCCUGAAAGAAAAUCCAAAAGACACAGGUGGAGUAGUUCCAGGGAUAGACUUGCCAAUAAUUUUAAGAGACAAGUAUGUAAGGCCUGAACAAGGCUUCAACGAUGGAUCAAAUCUCAUCACACAUCAAAUGAUUCACACUGGGGAGAAACCCCAUGUUUGCAAGGAGUGUGGCCGUGGCUUCAGUCUGAGGUCAACUCUGAUUACACACCAGAGAACACACACAGGAGAGAAGCCCUAUGCUUGCAAGGAGUGUGGGCGUGCAUUCAGUGUGAGUUCACAGCUCAUCAGACACCAGAGAACGCACACAGGAGAGAGGCCCUAUGUUUGCAAGGAGUGUGGGCGUGGCUUCAGUGAGAGGUCAAGUCUCAUUACACACCAGAGAACACACACAGGAGAGAAGCCCUAUGCUUGCAAGGAGUGUGGGCGUGCAUUCCGUAUGAGGUCACAUCUCAGCAGACACCAGAGAACACACACAGGAGAGAGGCCCUAUGUUUGCAAGGAGUGUGGGCAUACCUUCAGUGAGAGGUCAAAUCUCAUCACACACCAGAGAACACACACAGGAGAGAAGCCCUAUGUUUGCAAGGAGUGUGGGCAUACCUUCAGUCAGAGAUCAGGUCUCAUCACACACCAGAGAACACACACAGGAGAGAAGCCCUAUGCUUGCAAGGAGUGUGGGCAUACCUUCAGUCAGAGAUCAGGUCUCAUCACACACCAGAGAACACACACAAGAGAGAAGCCCUAUGUUUGUGGGGAGUGUGGCCAUGGCUUCA